UACGUAGGUGGCAAGCGUUGUCCGGAAUUAUUGGGCGUAAAGCGCGCGCAGGCGGUCCUUUAAGUCUGAUGUGAAAGCCCACGGCUCAACCGUGGAGGGUCAUUGGAAACUGGGAGACUUGAGUGCAGAAGAGGAAAGUGGAAUUCCAUGUGUAGCGGUGAAAUGCGUAGAGAUAUGGAGGAACACCAGUGGCGAAGGCGACUUUCUGGUCUG
rnacentral:rRNA from 1 species